rnacentral:tRNA from 1 species
UUUUUGAUGACAGAUUUAAUUGUAAUAGAUUGUAAAUCUUUUUAUAAGGGAACCCCUUUCUUUUAU